rnacentral:lncRNA from 13 species
AUGGGUGUAGAGACGGGGUACGUUCCAGGGUGUCUUUAUUGCAGUCAUGCUGCACAGAUGAUCACAUGUCACACCGCCUAUAUUAACCCCCUGAGCUGUACAGGUCGACUGCAACAUGGACGUUCUGUAACGAGCCCACAGUCUAGUCUUAACAGUCAGGUUGACCACUAUAGCCACCGUUGGGGGGCCUCCACCCUGCAGCUCCAGACUCUCUCAGUACUGUCUCUACAGAUGGACGGUCAAGUUGACCACUGUUUUCCCCCCGGUUGGAGGAUUCCUAGAGUCAGGUUGACCACUAUAUCCACCGUUGGCGGGCCUCCACCCUGCAGCUCUCCAGACUCUCAGACUCUCUCAGUACUGUCUCUACAGAUGGACGGUCAAGUUGACCGCUGUUUUCCCCCCGGUUGGAGGAUUCCUAGAGUCAGGUUGACCACUAUAGCCACCGUUGGGGGGCCUCCACCCUGCAGCUCUCCAGACUCUCUCAGUACUGUCUCUACAGAUGGACGGUCCAGUUGACCGCUGUUUGGUGUUUUUUUAAAUGUUAUUUUCUUUUAGCAAAACCUUCCUUUGUUAGCAGUAGUUUUAAACAUCUUUAUCUUUCAAUACCAGGAAAUACAAGCUCAAUUUCUGGAGAUUUAUUAAAAUGUUUUAAUUCUUUAAAAUGCCCUGCCCCCCCCUCCCCCAUGUCUUGUUGUUUUGAAAACCAUUUUACGAUUAC